AACGAACGCUGGCGGCAGGCCUAACACAUGCAAGUCGAACGCCGUAGCAAUACGGAGUGGCAGACGGGUGAGUAACGCGUGGGAACCUACCUUACGGUCGGGAAUAGCUCAGGGAAACUUGGGGUAAUACCGGAUACGCCCUUACGGGGAAAGAUUUAUCGCCGUUAGAUGGGCCCGCGUCGGAUUAGCUAGUUGGUGAGGUAACGGCUCACCAAGGCGACGAUCCGUAGCUGGUCUGAGAGGAUGAUCAGCCACACUGGGACUGAGACACGGCCCAGACUCCUACGGGAGGCAGCAGUGGGGAAUAUUGGACAAUGGGCGCAAGCCUGAUCCAGCCAUGCCGCGUGAGUGACGAAGGCCUUAGGGUUGUAAAGCUCUUUUGGCGGGGAAGAUAAUGACGGUACCGCAGAAUAAGCUCCGGCUAACUUCGUG
rnacentral:rRNA from 1 species